rnacentral:lncRNA from 1 species
AUAAAGGGUAUGAUAUUGCUUGUCUUCUCAGUGGAUGGUGGAGGGGCUGGAGAGAGAGAGAGAGAGAGAGAGAGAGAGAGAGAGAGAGAGACAGAGAGAGAGAGACAGAGAGAUUGAAACUUGAAAUUUAAAGAAUGAAUGUUAAAAAAAAAAGUAAUUUCCUCCUCCCUGCCACAGAUGGAGUUUAUAUCCAAAUUGGUAUCAUACUGCAAUAAGAAGAAUGGAGAAGCAGAGGAGCAAAGGAGGAACCAACAUAAAGUAGAGGGCAGAGUGGAUGGGGCACUAGACCUGGAAUCAGGAAGACCUGAGAUCAAAUCAGCCUCAGACACCUACUAGCUGUGUGAGCCUGGACAAGUCACUUAACCCUGUUUGCCUCAGUUUCCUCAUCUGUACAAUGAGCUGGAGAAAUAAAUGGAAAAUUAUUCUAGUAUCUUUGCCA